rnacentral:lncRNA from 1 species
AUGGAGCUUUUAGAGAGAUAACUAAGUUAAAAUGAGAUGAUUAGGGUGGGCCCCGAUGCAGUCUGACUGAUGUCAUAAAAAGAGGAAAUUUGGAUACAGAUCUAUAUACAGAAGGAAGAUCCUGGAAGGUACAGGGAGAAAACUGCCUUCUGCAAGCAAAGAGGAGACAGAGACCUCUGAAGGAACCAGUCCUGCUGGCAACAUGAUGCUGGACCUGCAGCCUAUUGAACUGAGAAAAUAAAUUUGUAUUUCUUCUGAUUUGAUUUCUGGUGCGGUCUCUACCUGGCCUAUGGACAGCUGCUAUGCCUGUACAUGGCCUUUCCUUGGUGACUGUCUAAGGGGGAAGAGAGAGCAAGGUUUCUGAUGUCUCUUCUCCUAAGGACCCUAAUCCAAUUAGGUGGGGCCCAACCCUUAAGACCUCAUUUAGCUUUAGUUGCUUCUUUGGAGGCCCUGUAUCCAAACCCAGCCCCGUGAGUUAGGGGUUCAAUGGAUGAAUUUUAGGGGUACAAACAGACCUUUAGUCCAUAAUAUCUCCAGCUAAAUGCAACAAUGUGAAUGAACUUCAAAAAUGUAAGUGACAUAAACCAGACCAGAAGAAUACAUACUGGUUGAUUCCAUUUACUUAACAAAAAUAGGUAAAACUAAUCCAUGUCACUUGAAGACAAGUUAAUACUUUGGGUUGGGAGACAGUGAUUGGAAUGAAGCACAAAGUAACAGGAAUGUAGGGGGCUGGUAAUGUUGGGUUUAUUGGUCUGGAUGCUGGUUACAUGGGUGUAUUCAGUUUGUGAAAUUUUAAUUUGUUUAUAUUGUAGAUUACACCUUAUUAAUAAUUUUUUAAUGCCCCAAGAUUAUGCUCACUGAGGGAAAAUGAAGGAAACAAAAACAACUAUACACACAAGCACUCGCAAAUAAUGCAUGUACACAUAUAUGUGUGUGUGAUCAUAGAAAAAUGUGCAUAUAUAACAAUAUGUAUUAAGAGUUCCCUUUGUGGCUCAGCAGGUUCAAAACCCAACUAGUAUCCAUGAGGAUGUGCUUUCGAUCUCUGGCCUCACUUAGUGGGUUAAGGAUCCAGCAUUGCCACAAGUUGCAGGGUAGAUCACAGAUAUGGCUUGAAUCUGGCCUGGCUGUGGCUAUGGCAUAGGCUGGCAGCUCCAGCUCUGAUUCAACCCCUAGUCUGGGAACUUCCAUAUGCCACAGGUGUGGCCCUAAAAAAGGAAAAAACAAAAAUGUGUUCAAGUGUCUAGAUACAUGGGUAUAAACAUAUAUAGAUAUAAGAUAAAAGUAUAAAUGUAGGUACAUGAUUUCAAAAAGCUACCUUGGCAUGUAUAUAAUCCAUCUGAAGAACAGUUUCUAUGGUUAACAAUGUUGAAAAAGCCUACGCCAUUGAUCAAUCCUCUUUUGUGAAUUGAAGACAAUGAGGCUCAGAAAUUGGCACCUGAGCCACAUAACUGAACUGGGACCAAGGCUCCUAAACCCUAAGUAAGAUAUCUUCCUACUGAGAGAUAAAGGCUUAGAGCUGCAAAAGGUCUUAAAAGUGAUUAUUCCCAUGCCCAUAAUAACCUCCUGACUAAGGCGUUUUUCAGUCUCUGCUACAACAAUCUCUGCAGAGGAAGCACCUGAGCAGUCAUUCCAUGCGAACUCUGUCCAACAUUCUCCUUUGCUGAGCUGAAAUCUCUACUGCGACUUCCACCACUUCUAAGAGUGGUAUAGAGUAAAAUUUGCAGCUUGGCGGGUAUGCAUUCUCGUGUGUGUGUUUGUGUGUGUAUGUGUGUGUGUACACUUUCUGUAACCAUGUAACCUUGGGCACAUCAGUUAAUAUCUCUCAGUCUGUUUCAUUUUAAAAUGUGAUUAUUAGUAAUAUCCAGAUAGAAGGUAGAGAAUUCAAGGAGAUAGAAAAUAUGUAUUAUACAUGCUUUGGAACAUACUCAGGUAUGGAUUAAUAUUAAUGCCCUUUGCCUUCUCUCUCCCCUGACUUCUCCUACACUAUAUUUUUGUUUUAAAAAAAUCACUAAAUGACAGCCUCAAAAUAUGUGAAGAUAGCUAUGCUAUGCACCCAUCCCUCAGUCCAUUUUUCCCUACAUGAGUCAGCUGGGAGUUACCUUAUCAGUGAAGAUCCCCUCCUGUGGACACUGAGCAGAGCUCAGGGUAGACACCCAUUCAGGACAUGGCUUUCCUCUCCUUUUUUCUAUGGAGUCAAGAAAAAGAUUUGAUCUCCCUGGCUCUGUAAGACACUAGCAAGGACGAGUUUUCUAGGAGAAAGGGGCCCAGACACAGGACACAAGCCAAUGCUAAUUCUGCUGAUUCUGAUCCACAUUCUCUUCUCAGAAGUUACCAACUUAGGAGUUCCCGUCGUGGCGCAGAGGUUAACGAAUCCGACUAGAAACCAUGAGGUUGCAGGUUCCAUCCCUGGCCUUGAUCAGCGGAUUAAGGAUCCAGCACUGCCGUGAGCUGUGGUGGAUCGCAGACACAGCUCUAAUCCCACAUUGCUGUGGCUCUGGCGUAGGCUGGCGGCUACAGCUCUGAUUAGACACUUAGCCUGGGAACCUCCAUAUGCUGUGGGAGCUGCCCAAGAAAAGACAAUCAAUCAAUCAAUCAAUCAAUCAACAAAGUGAAGGUAUUUAAGAUGCUUGUAGCUGCACAGCCAAAAAUCUUAGCAUGUGAUGCCAAAGGGGGCUGGAAAGACUCAAAGGUAGAGUUCAAUGCCUUAGUGAAUUAAGCAUGGUCCAGCAACAGGUCAAGCCUCAGUCUUCCAGGUUUAGACACCUGAGGUAGAGGAACAUAAAACAAUUGUCUGGAACUCUGUAGUCAUAUCCUGGAAGUUCUGGCAAGUGAAUGAUAAGAGAAUACAGAGACACUAAUAUGGUUUCUGGUAUCAGAGGACAUUGUCCUGCCAAGCGCCAUUGCUAAAAUGCUCCUGCUGGCCUAGCAGGUUUCUGAACUGCCUGGUUUCUCCUGGGCAGACUUGGAAGCACUGGCUGGAAGGGUUCAGAUCUCCUGCGUUGUUCAUAUGUAUGCUUCCUAGUACUUAGUCAAAGGCAGAGGAACAAAAUCGUGAGGGUGGGGGAUCAACAACAAGGAGAUGACAAGACCAAGACCAGGAGACAGAUAGGUGGUGCAACACAAAAACUCUUAGAUUUAGAGAAAGAGACUGAACAGUUUUGCAGUCAAAUGCUGGAGGGUCUGCUAAAUGAUUCAGCAGCAUCCCUCUUACCUUUACCCCAAACCAAACCAUUCACCACAUCCCGUACAGACAGGGUAAGAGCGGACACGGCACUAGACCCUGAGCAAGGUGGGACGAGAAAGAACCCGUUCACUCCAGGAGGUUAAGGUGAGACCAUUAGACCCUGUGGGAACAAAGCGCUUUGGGGAAAGGAAAUGGCCGGGUGGUCAAGAUCUUGGGGAGAUAAAAAUUCUCAGGUGGGCAGUGGAGGGGCGGAGGGUCUUAAGUGGGAUCCAAGGUCACAUCAAAGGCAACAUCACAACCCAGAACACGACUCCCUUCUAACACACUCCCGCCCAGAAGUGUAGUCCACACCAAUUGAUAUUUCAGAUUCUACAUUUUUGUCUGCCCUCAGUUUGCUGUUCUCACUCAAGCCCACUUCUGCUCCCCUUUCCUCUGUAAUCUUCUCCCUACUCAUCAACACAGAUAUCUAACCACUUAAGAGUUUUACCAUGAGUUCCCAUUGAGGCACAGCAGAAACGAACAUGAUUAGUAUCCACGAGGAAGUGGGUUUGAUCCCUGGCCUCCCUCAGUAGGUUAAGAAUCCAGCGUUGCAAUGAGCCGUGGUAUGGAUUGAAGACAUGUGUGGAUCCUGCGCUGCUGUGGCUGAGAUGUAGGCUGGCAGCUGUGGCUCCGAUUCAACCCCUAGCCAGGGAACUUCCAUAUGCCAUGGGUAUGGACCUAAAAAGAAAAAACCUUCCUCUCUGGUGGCUGGGUAAUGAUAAGAGUAGGCAACAAGACACAAUUAAAGGGUGUUCUCGUAUUUACCAAAAUUCUCAAAAUCCUAUAGAUGUCCAACUAUCCCAUAGACAUUUUCAUCUUCACGCCCCUGCCCUCUCAUGCCAUCACUACUGCCACAGACACAAAAUGCCAAGUACCCCUGCCCCACUCUAUCACAUGGCCUAGGUGCUCCUUCCCUGACAGCUCCCUCCCUCAAAACUCAUCUUGAUGUCACGUAAGCACCCCAGAAAUUCUGACUAUCAUCCUAGCCUCUCAAUAGCCCUGCAGAGAUAACUCCUAACUGACUAGGAAUCUCUCCUCAACGACGUGGCUGAGUCUCAUGGUCAACCAGCUGGGGCCAACUUCUGACCCCUUUGCCUAUAGGUUCCAAUUUUAGGCAUAACUUAGAGAAUGAUCAGGCUCCGGGAAAUUGACUUGUAGCAACAGACUCAAGCGCCACUCACUCAUGAGUGGGGGAAGGUGAGAGUGUGGCAAUGUCCUGUCAUGGUGCCAGAGUCACUGCCUAUAACAAAUGGCCCUGCCAACUGCCACUGAAAGGCUAUGGCCCAAGGGAUUACGAUUGCCCAUUAUGAGCCAGGCAUGACAUAAUCGUGCACAAUGGGGAGAAACAUCAGGGUAGAAAGGAUAAAAUCAAAGAGAAUGUGUGAAUUGAAUGAAUUUUGCAACCCACCACAAUAUGGUAGCCUUUCAUUUCUAAGAGAACCAGAGUCACACAUUACAGAUAGAGACAGAAAUUGUUAUUAUUUGGCACCCCCUUAACUAUUCCCCCUCAUAUAGAGGGAACAAAAUAGGGGGGUGGGGGGAAGCAAUAUACGAAAUGAUCAAAUUUGUCAAGCUGUGGAUAAGUUUAGAGAUUUGCAUCAGAUCUUUCCACUGUUGUAAGCUAAGUGAGGUGGGACAAGUUCCUUACCUUCUCAGGUCUCAGUUUUCUCAUGUGAAAUGGAAGAAAUAUCAGUAGCUACCUCGGAGGGUGGAAUGAGGAUCUAUGGUCCGUGAUCAACAAAUAUCAACCAGCAUUAUAAUGUUGGAGAUUGUUUUCUCAUUGGUUCCACAAACUGAUUAAUCAUUUCUCCUUUUCCAGAAAAAAAAUUUAUUGUUUUUUUAUUUUUACUUACACACAGAUUCUUAAAAUUACAAGUCACAGAUGGUUUUCACUCUCUUAGUGUGGCUCCCUUCAGUCACAUCGAGAAGAAAUUUAGUCUCCCCACUGAGGCUUUUUCCAUGUGGGAAUGCUGUAUAAUGCUCUUUUCCACAUGUGUGCCAGCUCAGUCAGCUUUCAUGUGCCUUAAAUUUGUAUUAUUGCUUCUGGACAUGAGAGGCCUUUCCUACACAACCUUGGCCAUUUGACUAGCCACUGGCAUUUAAAGAAAAUAUUUCUGGUAAUCCCCAUCCUUCUCCCUCUUCCGCCUAAUCAGCACAUCAUGGCAGCAUGGCUAUGGUUAGGACCUCAGCCCCACUCUUUAUUGACCAGUCCACCUGGGUGGGGGGCAGAAAUGAGGGUGGCAGGAAAGAUCAGGACCUGAGACCCUGAAGUUUAAUGUCCUCCUCUAAUAUCUCCUUCCUGCAUGAGGAGGUGGUCCUUUCCAAAGAUAAUAAAGCAAGUAGCUAGUGAAAUUGUGGGACCUCUAGCAAUUCAGGGGAAAGUCAGCCUGGGCAAGGAUGGGCACAAAGCCCUGAAAUUUUCUCUAGCAUAAAGACGGCAAAAUCACACACACACACACACACACACACACACACACGUAGAACAAAUAAAAGUUGCACAGAGCUGUGCUGUGGGGACUCUGUCACUCCUUGUCUUGUCAAGGAACUGACCUGUUACUUCAGUCCUCAGACAACACCUAAAGCCAUGAGCAAUAUUCUGAAAUAUUUCUCUGGUUUCUGUACUUACAGACAUUAAGCCAGCCUUCCCAGGCACAACUUGAUGGACAUAAGAUAACAGAGUCUUCAGUGACCACACAAAGAAGGAAUAUAGUCCUUGCAAAAACAGUUUGGAAAAGUCACUAGACAAAUGGAUAACUGCACCACUCCACAAACAAUACAAGCAAUCCCUAGGGGAUGAGGACAUUGUAACUCCCAUAGCACAGCACUGUAUUCAGAAUAUCCAGUUUUCGAUGAAAAUAUGCAAAUGCAAAGAAAUAAAACUGUAUGGA